rnacentral:lncRNA from 10 species
GCUGGAGACCUGGUGUAGUUCCAGCCUGAGUCCAAAGACUUGAGAACAGGAGAGGUGAUGAUCUCUUGGGUUGAUAGCUUAUGGCAGUGAUAGUCAAGUGUAUCACGCCGUGAAGUCAACUGUUUGAAAAAACACUGUGAAGUGGUUCGAUAUGGAUAUGAUGUCAUAAUCUUCUUUUUGAAGAUAAAGAAACUAAGACUAUAUCAUAAUGUUCUUCUUGAAGAUGAAGAAAUGAAGACUCUGUGAGAUAUAGCGAUUUGUUUUUGGUGGGGGCUUGGAGGAGGAGAGGCAGAGUUGUCUCUACUGUACUAGUGCUUUGGGAGGUCAUUCUUGCUUAGGAAUGUCUCCACUUCCUUUCCCCUCACCCCUAGCACAGCCUGAGUUUGGAGGGAGGGUAGAAGCAGGACUAUAAGUAAAAAUAAUAACUUAUUUACUUAUCAAUCAUCUAUCUGUGUGUGUAUGUGUAUAUGUAUAUAUGUGUGUGUAUGUGUGUGCGUGUGUAAAUAGCAGGCAUACCUAACUUUUCAGUAAAAUUCUGUUGAGAAGAGGAAUAGGUAAAUGAUGCUAAGGGUAAACACAGAGUCAAGAGAGAAGGUUUAGGAAAAUGAUAGUGUGUGAGCUAGUUAUUGAUAUCUCUGAAGAAAAGACCAUGAAUACUGUAGUGCAUUCUAGGAGAGCAAUAGUAUUAUGUUAUCUUAUAUCCUGUAAGAAAGAGCAUCCUAUGGAAAAGAUAGAAUAAUGUAGUUACUUUUAUGCUCAGAAUAAUUCACAUGUUCUUAGGUGAAUUCUAGGUCCCAGAGAUAUUUCUGCUGAUUCUGUAAACCUACCGUUUUCUCUUUAAGCGGUUAAAAAAAUUUCUCCCUCUUAAUCCCCCACUUCUCAUUUAUGUCUUCUUUUUAUUUGUGCAAAUAUUAUUUGAAUCAUUAUUUCUACCCUUUUUCUUGUUUUAGGUUUGUUUUGCCCUUCUUUUACUAGGUUCUUGCAGCAGGAGCUUAAAUUACUGAUUUAAGAUUUUUUUCUCUGUUCUAAUGCAUGCUUUUGGUGUAUAAAAUUCCAUUUUCAGCACUAUUUUGACUCUGCCUUGCAAAUUUGAUAUGUUUUAUUUUCUGUUUUUAUUCAGUUCAAUGUAUUUUCAAGAUUUUCCUUAAGAAUGACUCCUUGAGCCAUGGAUUAUUUAUAAAUAUGUUGUUUCAUUUCUAAGUGUUUUGAGAUAUGCUAACAAGGAUAUUGGUCUUUUUAAAAUUGAUCUCUUGCAUGAUUUCAUUGUGGUUGGAAAAUGUACUAUGUAUGGUUUCAAUUCUAAAUUUUUUGAGGUUUGUUUUAUGGCUCUGGAUAUAAUCUAUCUUGGUAUAUGUUCUGUGAGCACUUAAAUAGAAUGUGUUUGCUGUUGUUGGGUGGGGUUUUCUGUAAAUGUUGAUUAGAUCCUUUUGGUUAAUGGUGUUGUUGAAUUCUUUCACAUUCUUGUUGUUUUUCUGUGUAGUUCCAACAAUUAUUGAGAAAAGAAUGUUGAAAUCUACAAUUAUAAUUCUAAAUUUUUCUAUUUGUCCUUUCAGUUCUAUCAAAUUUUAUUUUACAUAUUUUGCUGCUCUGUUUUUUGGUUCAUACAUUUUUAUGAUUGGUGUGUCUUCACAUGGAUUGAUCCUUUUAUCGUUGUACAAUGUGCCUCUCUGUCUCUGGUGAUUUUCUUUGCUCUAAAGUCUAUUUGAUAUUAAUAUAGCUAUUCCUGUUUUCUUUUGAUUAAUGUUAUAUGAUAGGUCUUUUUCUGUUCUUUCACUUUUAACUAACUUAUAUUAUUGUAUUUCAAGUGAGUUUUUAUAGACAACAUAUGAUUGGUGGUAUUUUUUAAUCUACUCUGUCAAUAUCUUUCAAUUAGGUAUUUAGAUUAUUUACAUUUAGAGUAAUUAUUGAUAUUAGGAUUCAAGUCUGCUAUUUUAAUGCCUUAAUUAAAGCAGCCUUCAGGUGCUCCAGGGGUCUAUUCAUCACUACUUACAGAUUUAUAGGACUGUUAUCUGUAUUAAGUUCUAUGUACAACUUGGAAAUAGUAAUUGGACAGAGGAAGAGGAUAAUAAUGUUAAACACUUUUAGAAUAAAUUGUCUGCCAUAUUAUUUAUGAAUUGGGUGACAACUUUGUCCCAAUAUAUUUAUGUUUUAAUAUUGUUAAAUAAUGUUUUACUUUGGCCUACACAGAUUUGGAAGAAAUGUCUCUUAAGAAGCUAAUUAAAUAAUUUAUUGUACUCACGUUUGUUGAACAUUUUCUAUGUGCAAACUAUUAUUCCAGUGAAGGGGAGUACAAUGAUGAACAAGAUUACUAAUAAAUGUAAAAAUGCAAAAACUAUAAAAAAUUAAUUUUGUUUUAUAUGCUUUAUACUAUAUUGCAUUUUAUAUUAGCUUCCUAGGGCUUCCAUAACAAAGUACAUGGACUGAGUGGCUUUAACAACAGAAAUUUAUUUUCUCACAGUUCUAGAGGAUAGAAGUCUGAAGUUAA